rnacentral:rRNA from 1 species
AUUGAACGCUGGCGGCAGGCCUAACACAUGCAAGUCGAACGAGUGGCGGACGGGUGAGUAAUGUCUGGGAAACUGCCUGAUGGAGGGGGAUAACUACUGGAAACGGUAGCUAAUACCGCAUACCAUCGGAUGUGCCCAGAUGGGAUUAGCUGGUGGGUGGGGUAAAGGCUCACCUAGGCGACGAUCCCUAGCUGGUCUGAGAGGAUGACCGGCAACACUGGAACUGAGACACGGUCCAGACGCUUAAGGGAGGAAGCAGAGGGAAAUAUGGCACAAGGGGGGCAAUCCUGAUGCAGCCAUGCGGCGUGUAUGAAGAAGGCCUUCGGGUUGUAAAGUACUUUAAGCGGGGAGGCGUUACCCGCAGAAAAAGCACCGGCUAACUCCGUGCCAGCCGCCGCGGUAAUAC